AACGAACGCUGGCGGCAUGCCUAACACAUGCAAGUCGAACGAGACCUUCGGGUCUAGUGGCGCACGGGUGCGUAACGCGUGGGAACCUGCCCUUAGGUUCGGAAUAACGCCCCGAAAGGGGUGCUAAUACCGCAUAAUGUCUUCGGACCAAAGAUUUAUCGCCUUUGGGUGGGCCGGCGUUGUAUUAGCAAGUUAGUAGGGUAAAAGCCUACCAAGGCUACGAUCCAUAGCUGGUCUGAGAGGAGGAUCAGCCACACUGGGACUGAGACACGGCCCAGACUCCUACGGGAGGCAGCAGUGGGGAAUAUUGGACAAUGGGCGAAGGCCUGAUCCAGCAAUGACGCGUGAGUGAUGAAGGCCUUAGGGUUGUAAAGCUCUUUUACCCGGGAUGAUAAUGACAGUACCGGGAGAAUAAGCUCCGGCUAACUCCGUG
rnacentral:rRNA from 1 species